UAAGGAAUAUUGCGCAAUGGGGGAAACCCUGACGCAGCAACGCCGCGUGGAGGAUGACACUUUUCGGAGCGUAAACUCCUUUUAUCAGGAAAGAAUAAUGACGGUACCUGAUGAAUAAGCACCGGCUAACUCCGUGCCAGCAGCCGCGGUAAUACGGGGGGUGCAAGCGUUACUCGGAAUCACUGGGCGUAGAGGACGCGUAGGCGGAUUAUCAAGUCUUUUGUGAAAUCUAGUGGCUUAACCACUAAACUGCUUAGGAAACUGAUAGGCUAGGGUAGGGGAGAGAUAGAAGGAAUUCUUGGUGUAGGGGUAAAAUCCGUAGAGAUCAAGAAGAAUACCCAUUGCGAAAGCGAUCUGCUGGAACCUAACUGACGCUGAGGCGUGAAAGCGUGGGUAGCAAACAGG
rnacentral:rRNA from 1 species